GAUGAAGAACGUAGCGAAAUGCGAUACGUAAUGUGAAUUGCAGAAUUCAGUGAAUCAUCGAAUCUUUGAACGCAUAUUGCGCUCUUUGGUAUUCCGAAGAGCAUGCUUGUUUGAGUAUCAGUAAACACCUCAAAGCUUUUGGAUUUUUUAAUCGAAAAGCUUGGGACUUGAGCAAUCCCAACACCAAUCUUUUUGAGAUCGGUGGCGGGUUGCUUGAAAUGCAGGUGCAGCUGGACAUUCUCCUGAGCUAAAAGCAUAUUCAUUUAGUCCCGUCAAACGGAUUAUUACUUUUGCUGCAGCUAACAUAAAGGGAGUUUGACCGUAUUGGCUGACUGAUGCAGGAUUUCACAAGGGUCGGCAACGAUUCUUGUUAAACUCGAUCUCAAAUCAAGUAAGACUACCCGCUGAACUUAAGCAUAUCAAUAAGCGGAGGA
rnacentral:misc_RNA from 1 species